UACAGAGGUGGCAAGCGUUGUUCGGAAUUACUGGGCGUAAAGGGCGCGUAGGCGGUCUUGUCAGUCCCUUGUGAAAUCCCCGGCUCAACUGGGGAACUGCACGGGAAACAGCAGGGCUUGAGUUCGGGAGAGGGAAGCGGAAUUCCGGGUGUAGCGGUGAAAUGCGUAGAUAUCCGGAGGAACACCGGUGGCGAAGGCGGCAUCCUGGACCAAUAUUGACGCUGAGGAGCGAAAGCCAGGGGAGCAAACGGG
rnacentral:rRNA from 1 species